CCUACGGGUGGCAGCAGUGAGGAAUAUUGGUCAAUGGGCGGAAGCCUGAACCAGCCAAGUCGCGUGAGGGAUUAAGGCCCUGCGGGUCGUAAACCUCUUUUGCCGGGGAGCAGAGGUCCGGACGUGUCCGGGCCGGGAGAGUACCCGGAGAAAAAGCAUCGGCUAACUCCGUGCCAGCAGCCGCGGUAAUACGUAGGAUGCUAGCGUUAUCCGGAUUUAUUGGGUUUAAAGGGUGCGUAGGCGGGCAUUUAAGCCGGCGGGAAAAUGUCGGGGCCCAACCCCGGCCUGCAGUCGGAACUGGGUGCCUUGAGUGGGCAAGAGGUAUGCGGAAUGCGUGGUGUAGCGGUGAAAUGCAUAGAUA
rnacentral:rRNA from 1 species